GUGCCAGCAGCCGCGGUAAUACGUAGGGGGCAAGCGUUACUCGGAUUUAUUGGGCGUAAAGAGAAUUCAGGCGGUCAUGUAAGUCAGUGGUGAAAUACCUCGGCUCAACUGAGGAAUUGCCUUUGAUACUGCGUGACUCGAGGACAGGAGAGGAAGGCGGAAUUCCCGGUGUAGCGGUGGAAUGCGUAGAUAUCGGGAGGAACACCUGAGGCGAAGGCGGCUUUCUGGACUGGUCCUGACGCUGAUAUUCGAAAGCUAGGGGAGCAAACAGGAUUAGAUACCCUGGUAGUCCUAGCUGUAAACGAUGGAUACUAGAUCUUGCAUGAUUUUGCUUGGUCGAAGCUAACGCGUUAAGUAUCCCGCCUGGGGAGUACGGUCGCAAGGCUGAAACUCAAAUGAAUUGACGGGG
rnacentral:rRNA from 1 species